rnacentral:rRNA from 1 species
AUUGAACGCUGGCGGCAGGCUUAACACAUGCAAGUCGAGCGGAGAUGAGGUGCUUGCACCUUAUCUUAGCGGCGGACGGGUGAGUAAUGCUUAGGAAUCUGCCUAUUAGUGGGGGACAACAUUCCGAAAGGAAUGCUAAUACCGCAUACGUCCUACGGGAGAAAGCAGGGGAUCUUCGGACCUUGCGCUAGUAGAUGAGCCUAAGUCGGAUUAGCUAGUUGGUGGGGUAAAGGCCUACCAAGGCGACGAUCUGUAGCGGGUCUGAGAGGAUGGUCCGCCACACUGGGACUGAGACACGGCCCAGACUCCUACGGGGGGCAGCAGUGGGGAAUAUUGGACGAUGGGGGAAACCCGGAUCCAGCCAUGCCGCGUGUGUGAAGAAGGCCUUAUGGUUGUAAAGCACUUUAAGCGAGGAGGAGGCUACUGAGACUAAUACUCUUGGAUAGUGGACGUUACUCGCAGAAUAAGCACCGGCUAACUCUGUGCCAGCCGCCGCAGUAA